GUGGAGGAGGAGGCGAGGGAGGAGGGGGGGACGGCGGCACGGGGCUCGGCGGAGGCGCGUCGGGUGGAGGUGGAGGAGGAGGCGACGGCGGCACAGGGCUCGGCGGAGGCGCGUCCGGAGGAGGCGGAGGAGGAGGCGAUGGCGGCACAGGGCUCGGCGGAAGCGCGUCCGGUGGAGGCGGAGGAGGAGGCGACGGCGGCUCAGGGCUCGGCGGAGGCGCGUCGGGUGGAGGUGGAGGAGGCGGCGACGGCGGCACAGGGCUCGGCGGAGGCGCGUCGGGUGGAGGUGGAGGAGGAGGCGACGGCGGCACAGGGCUCGGCGGAGGCGCGUCCGGAGGAGGUGGAGGAGGAGGCGACGGCGGCUCAGGGCUCGGCGGAGGCGCGUCCGGCGGAGGCGGAGGAGGAGGCGACGGCGGCACAGGGCUCGGCGGAGGCGCGUCCGGAGGAGGCGGAGGAGGAGGCGAUGGCGGCACAGGGCUCGGCGGAAGCGCGUCCGGUGGAGGCGGAGGAGGAGGCGACGGCGGCUCAGGGCUCGGCGGAGGCGCGUCGGGUGGAGGUGGAGGAGGCGGCGACGGCGGCACAGGGCUCGGCGGAGGCGCGUCGGGUGGAGGUGGAGGAGGAGGCGACGGCGGCACAGGGCUCGGCGGAAGCGCGUCCGGUGGAGGCGGAGGAGGAGGCGACGGCGGCUCAGGGCUCGGCGGAGGCGCGUCGGGUGGAGGUGGAGGAGGCGGCGACGGCGGCACAGGGCUCGGCGGAGGCGCGUCGGGUGGAGGUGGAGGAGGAGGCGACGGCGGCACAGGGCUCGGCGGAGGCGCGUCCGGCGGAGGCGGAGGAGGCGGUGAAGGCGGCAUAGGGCUCGGUGGAGGCGCGCCGGGUGGAGGUGGAGGAGGAGGCGACGGCGGCUCGGGGCUUGGCGGAGGCGCGUCGGGUGGAGGUGGAGGAGGAGGCGAAGGCGGCACGGGGCUCGGCGGAGGCGCGUCGGGUGGAGGCGGAGGAGGAGGCGACGGCGGCACGGGGCUCGGCGGAGACGCGUCUGGUGGAGGCGGAGGAGGCGAUGGCGGCUCGGGGCUUGGCGGAGGUGCGUCCGGCGGAGGCGGAGGAGGAGGCGACGGCGGCUCGGGGCUUGGUGGAGGCGCGUCGGGCGGAGGCGGAGGAGGAGGCGACGGCGGCACAGGGCUCGGCGGAGGCGCGUCCGGAGGAGGCGGAGGAGGAGGCGACGGCGGCAUAGGGCUCGGUGGAGGCGCGUCGGGUGGAGGUGGAGGAGGAGGCGACGGCGGCUCGGGGCUCGGCGGAGGCGCGUCGGGCGGAGGCGGGGGAGGAGGCGAAGGCGGCUCAGGGCUUGGCGGAGGUGCGUCGGGCGGAGGCGGAGGAGGAGGCGAUGGCGGCUCAGGGCUCGGCGGAGGUGCGUCCGGAGGAGGCGGAGGAGGAGGCGACGGCGGCACAGGGCUCGGCGGAGGCGCGUCGGGUGGAGGUGGAGGAGGAGGCGAAGGCGGCUCGGGGCUCGGCGGAGGCGCGUCGGGUGGAGGCGGGGGAGGAGGCGAAGGCGGCUCGGGGCUUGGCGGAGGUGCGUCGGGCGGAGGCGGAGGAGGAGGUGAAGGCGGCUCGGGGCUCGGCGGAGGCGCGUCCGGCGGAGGUGGAGGAGGAGGCGAAGGCGGCUCGGGGCUUGGCGGAGGUGCGUCCGGCGGAGGCGGAGGAGGAGGCGAUGGCGGCUCGGGGCUCGGCGGAGGCGCGUCGGGUGGAGGUGGAGGAGGAGGCGACGGCGGCACAGGGCUUGGCGGAGGCGCGUCCGGCGGAGGUGGAGGGGGAGGCGAAGGCGGCUCGGGGCUUGGCGGAGGUGCGUCCGGCGGAGGCGGAGGAGGAGGCGAUGGCGGCACAGGGCUCGGCGGAGGCGCGUCAGGUGGAGGCGGAGGAGGAGGCGACGGCGGCUCGGGGCUUGGCGGAGGCGCGUCGGGUGGAGGCGGAGGGGGCGAUGGCGGCUCGGGGCUUGGAGGUUCAGGUGAUGGAGGGUCAGAGAUAGCACAUGACUUCUGUGCCUGCCCAGACAGGCACGAUAAACGGUCUGACGUUGCAAGUGUGUCUGUGCUUCCCUGAACACU
rnacentral:lncRNA from 1 species